rnacentral:rRNA from 1 species
GAGUUUGAUCGUGGCUCAGGAUAAACGCUGGCGGCGUGCCUUAUGCAUGCAAGUCGAACGCACCGCAAGGUGAGUGGCGAACGGGUGAGUAACACGUAGGAACCUGCCUGGAAGUGGGGGAUAACCCUUCGAAAGAGGGGCUAAUACCGCAUGUGGUCUCCGGACCAAAGCUUCGGCGCUUCCCAGAGGGGCCUGCGGCGGAUUAGCUUGUUGGUGGGGUAACGGCCUACCAAGGCGACGAUCCGUAGCUGGUCUGAGAGGAUGGUCAGCCACACUGGGACUGAGAUACGGCCCAGACUCCUACGGGAGGCAGCAGCAAGGAAUUUUGCGCAAUGGGCGAAAGCCUGACGCAGCAACGCCGCGUGGGGGAUGAAGGCCUUCGGGUUGUAACGUUACUUUUCUUAUGUCGAAGAAUAUGACGGUAACAUAGGAAUAAGGGU